rnacentral:rRNA from 1 species
ACCUUUGACAUGUACGGGAAUCCUUCAGAGAUGAGGGAGUGCUCGAAAGAGAGCCGUAACACAGGUGCUGCAUGGCUGUCGUCAGCUCGUGUCGUGAGAUGUUGGGUUAAGUCCCGCAACGAGCGCAACCCUUGCCAUUAGUUGCUACGAAAGGGCAUUCUAAUGGGACUGCCGGUGACAAACCGGAGGAAGGUGGGGAUGACGUCAAGUCCUCAUGGCCCUUAUAGGUGGGGCUACACACGUCAUACAAUGGCUGGUACAGAGGGUUGCCAACCCGCGAGGGGGAGCCAAUCCCAUAAAGCCAGUCGUAGUCCGGAUCGCAGUCUGCAACUCGACUGCGUGAAGUCGGAAUCGCUAGUAAUCGCGGAUCAGAAUGUCGCGGUGAAUACGUUCCCGGGUCUUGUACACACCGCCCGUCACACCAUGGGAGCGGGUCUCGCCAGAAGUAGGUAGCCUAACCGCAAGGAGGGCGCUUACCACGGCGGGGUUCGUGACUGGGGUGAAGUCGUAACAAGGUAAGCGUAGUGCU